UUCCAUAGCUACUGGUCUGCAGCUGUUCUUAUAUAACAGUUGUGGCAUUCCUCUGUGCGAAAGAAACCGUUAACACAGCUAAACACCUUUCUUAGCAAAACAGAAAGUGACAGAAGAAAAAAAAAGA
ensembl:snoRNA